UUAAAAAAUUUUGGAUUAAAGUGGCAAAAGUGAGCAAACAUCAGGGACCAUUUUGGCUAUUAACUCUUUUAAUACUUAUUACCACGUUCAUUAAGAAAAACUCAACGUUAUACUAGAAUCUAAUUUAUGCACAACACACUUCGUAAUUCCAAAAUUCAAAAUUUAUUUUACAACAAUUCGAUACAUGCAUACUAAUACGUUAUACUUGGUUCGGGAUUGCUGGGAUAUUCUUAUGUGAUAAACUGGUCAUUAACUUCGCAAGAAGCCACACCUUAACAUAUAUAGUGCUUGUGAAGCACUACAGGAGUAACGCACCACCACAUGGAUUUGUGGUAAUGUUAAGUCAUUCAUUCAUAGUAGCGGGAGCGAUGGGUUGACAACUUGUCAUUAACUUCGUAAGAAGUCACACCUUAACAUGUAUAGUGCUUGUGUAGCACUAUAGGAGUAGCGCACCGCCACAUGGAUUUGUGGUCAUGUUAAGUCAUACAUUCAUUCUAGCGGGAACGAUGGUUUGACCUGUUUAUUCACAUGCCAGCAAUGCGUUAAUCUUGUUAACUAAGUAUGUCAUGUGGUUUAUUCAAAGAUUUACUCAUACCCAUACUUAAAAUCUAUACUCUCAUACUUAAAUACAAUCAUGCAUGCAUACUUAAAAUUCUAUACGCUAUCGUUAUCACUCGUAAUACGUUAAUAUACCCUGACCCGUACACUACUAGUACAAACUAUGCGGACCAUGCACAAACCAAAAUAAUCGUGGAUGCAUACGGGAUUAUAUUGGUAGGCGCAUGGAAACCAUAGUAGGUUCUACUGUGUACCAUGACACGGAACGUAACAUGACACAGAAUAACGAAACGGACGUAACAUUAUACGAACAUGGUGGAUACGCCGCUGGUACUUCCUAUAUAUAAGUGUUCCUACCAUACCCAAAACACAAUUCGAAAAUGCCAUCUUUCCCCAAGGUCUUCCUCUUGAAUAAAUUUCGGGAUGAAAUUUCCUAAAGUUGGGGAGACUGUAACCCCUCGUAUUUUCGUAUUUUUAUAUUUUUUUUUGGAAAAUUCAGGUUCGUUUUCUAUUUUUAGAAAAUCAGAUCGAAAAACGGAAUAAAAAACGACAAACUACGCAUUUUACGCGAUUUUAACGCAACCGACGAAUGAACGCGUUAAACAUCAAGUUCCGACGUAUUUUUUAGCGUUCGACUCAAAAAAUUCAUUAUACGACAUUUUACGACGAUCGGGAUUCAAAGACGGGCUUCGGGAAUAUUAUUGGGCCGCUCAAAACAUGCUAACGGGCCCUGGGCCGAAGCCCACUUAACAACCAACUAUAAAUAGCCAGCUUAUAACUUCAAAACCCUAAACUUGUCCUUCUCAUUCGACCGCACACAAACACAGUGUCCCUUCUCUCUCACAUCCACUCCGGUGACCGGAGUUCGUUAUUCCGGCGACUGCGCCGACCGAUGAUGGUUGCUCCUCCGACAAACCACCCCACAACAACCCUUAUCACCCUUGCUCCCCCUCCCUCACGCUCUCUAACCGGAAACCGGAGUGAAUUCCGGUGAGCCGCACAUCACAACACUCCUUGUUUCACACUCACAAAACCCCUCACUCUAUCGUGUCUGGCCGCUGAUGGUGGCGAUAGCGUCGUAUAAAGCGGCGACGGCAGUCGUUUCUUGUUCGUUCUCCGGCGAUGGCAGGGCAGUGGUGGUGUCUCGACGGAAUUGAGCGGCAACGAACGGUGAUUAACGAUAAGUAUCAGUCUCCUUUCUUAUCUUAUCUUAUCUUUUUUUUUUGUUGGAUCCGACUCGAAUCCACAUUUUUUUAUCGCUGUUCCAACCUGUGUUGAUGUUCUAGGUGAGGUUAUGUUGACGAUCAUGACAUGGAUGGUAGUUGAGGGUUAACUGUCAGGUUCAGUCUCGGUUCAGUCAGUUUGGGUCAAACCCGUUCAACUGGUCAAUCACGGUCAAAGCAGGUUAAUUGACAUAUUCGAGGCAUGUCGGUUCCCGCUCAGUCAACUCCGGUCAGCUGAGGUCAAACUCAGUCAACGCGAGCUCGGUAAACUUCUAAGGACGCAAAUUUUAUUAAGUUAUUUAUAUUGUUUGUAUAUGUUAUCUAGUUUAAAACCGAGUUCGAUAUGAUACACUUAUUGAUUAGUUAUGUUUUGACACAUCGAUGGAAAUUUUAUAUAUGUUUUGAUAUUGCCUUGAUUAUUGUUGCGUUCUGACAAAUAUAAGCGACAACUUGUGUUGUCGGGAUCCUCCACAAACAGAGGAAACUCUGUCCGAUUUUCGUGAAAAUAUAUAUUAUAGCCGAAACACCAAUAAAAACGUAUCGAAACUCUAAUGAAGUUUAUAAAGUAAAUAUAAACGAAUAUAUUAUUUUAUGUCGACACUUUUAUAACUUCCAACGCUCUAAUUCUUUACUUAUGCGAGGUCGAGACUCGUGUUCUUCAAGAACUGAAAGGUUACCUCGGUGUCCCAUCCUUCAACUCUUUAACUCUCCAUGAGACAGGAAUGCGUUGCGAAACUGAUUAUGACAGAUGAAUCCAGUAGGAUUGCCUAGAAACGCAUUUAAAUUUUAUUGCUCGUUGUUUUCUAAUUUACUUUCAAUCUUGUUGUAUUCUGUUUCCAAUACUUGUAAUAAUUCAUUAUCAAUGAAAUGAAAUUUAAAUA